CAUUAAACCUAGAUAUUUCAGGAAAAACAUAACAUUAAUUGGUCCUUCUACGCCUUCACCGAAUCAGCCUGUUGAUUCCUAUCAGUAGUGAAGGGAAACAAGAUAACAUUUCUUCUGGUGGCUUACAGUUGGAGCAGAGUAAUGACAUCGAUGACAAAAACUCCACUUCUGAGUACUCACAUGCAGACACCAAGAAGAAAAUGUCACGGCGGGGUUCCAUUCAAGAUAGGAACAAGAGAAUCUCCACUUACAAUUAGCCUUCAAGUUAUCAAGUUAUAUGAAUGCCAUUUACCUCGUUUUGCUAGAGAUGGUAGAUAUUCUUUAGCCCACCUUUGCCAGAAUAAAUUUCACAAGGUAACGCUGAAUAAUUAGUUCCAAUCAAAAAAUGAUUUGGAGUUAGAGCCUCCAUAUCAUCUGAAUCAUUGGGUACAUGGGUAAGUGGUCUCGAGUUCAAAAUAGAUGUUCUAUUUUGUUAUUCAAUUAUAUGAGUUGUGUUAUGUUACAAAUCCACUAAAUCCACUAAAAUCUACUUCUCACAUUCUCUUAUAUACUCUGUUCAUAAUUCACUACUAUAACAAUUCAGUAUUUUUAUAAAUGUCACACGUUGUACAUGUACAUCAACCUGUGGACUUGAUGUAUUUAUUCAUUAUCAAUGGUUCGUUGUUUGUUAUUUUCAUAAUGUAUAUCUACUAUUAC